UACGGAAGGCAGCAGGGGGGAAUAUUGCACAAUGGGCGCAAGCCUGAUGCAGCCAUGCCGCGUGUAUGAAAAAGGCCUUCGGGUUGUAAAGUACUUUCAGUCGUGAGGAAGGUGUUAAGGUUAAUAACCUUAGCAAUUGACGUUAGCGACAGAAGAAGCACCGGCUAACUCCGUGCCAGCAGCCGCGGUAAUACGGAGGGUGCGAGCGUUAAUCGGAAUUACUGGGCGUAAAGGGCACGCAGGCGGUUAAUUAAGUUGGAUGUGAAAUCCCCGGGCUUAACCUGGGAAUGGCAUUCAAGACUGGUUAGCUAGAGUCUUGUAGAGGGGGUUAGAAUUCCAUGUGUAGCGGUGAAAUGCGUAGAGAUGUGGAGGAAUACCGGUGGCGAAGGCGGCCCCUGGACAAAGACUGACGCUCAUGUGCGAAAGCGUGGGGAGCAAACAGGGAUUAGAUACCCGU
rnacentral:rRNA from 1 species